rnacentral:lncRNA from 1 species
CUGGGGGUCUGGCUCUCGAGAUUCGGAGAGCGGUGUCUCUUCGAUUUUUGAGAAAGUAAUCAUGUUGGGAGUUUGGCUCUCGAGAUUCGGAGGGCGGUGCCUCUUCGAUUUUGGAGCAAGCAAUCUUGUUAGGGAGUGUUUUCUCGAAUGUGAGUAAAGGUUGGGCAUGUUUGCUAGUCUACCUUGCCACGAAGCACAGAGGUUGACACACAGGGACUUUCCAAUUAUCCAGCAGUGGUACUGUUCCUUUACCCUCUCUUCGAUUUUUGAGAAAGUAAUCAUGUUUGGAGUCUGGCUCUCGAGAUUCGGAGGGCGGUGCCUCUUCGAUUUUGGAGCAAGCAAUCUUGUUGGGAGUGUUUUCUCGAAUGUGAGUAAAGGUUGGGCAUGUUUGCUAGUCUACCUUGCCACGAAGCACAAAGGUUGACACACAGGGACUUUCCAAUUAUCCAGCAGUGGUACUGUUCCUUUACCCUCUCUUCGAUUUUUGAGAAAGUAAUCAUGUUGGGAGUCUGGCUCUCGAGAUUCGGAGGGCGGUGCCUCUUCGAUUUUGGAGCAAGCAAUCUUGUUGGGAGUGUUUUUCUCGAAUGUGAGUAAAGGUUGGGCAUGUUUGCUAGUCUACCUUGCCACGAAGCACAGAGGUUGACACACCGGGACUUUCCAAUUAUCCAGCAGUGGUACUGUUCCUUUACCCUUGUGGGUAAUAAUAUGGUAGCUAGACCUUCAAAAUUUAUGUGUCUAAACUUUGUUAGUGUUGUUUCUUUGCUAAUUCUUUUACCCUUCUUGGUCAGAGCGAUGUAGUGGGAGCUGCAAGCUUCACGUGUCUCAACUUUGUCAGAGAACUUUGGCAAAGUUAUCUGUGGUACCCAUGAGCUUACUGUUGCGUGUGGGAAGUGGGUGAUUGAACAGUACGAUUCAUGUGCUUUCUACUUCGCCAGAAAUCUUCGACAGAAUGCCCAUAAUUUCCGCAAAGCUGAGUGUGCGUGUGACAGGUGCUGACAAGGCUGGAAAAAGUAGGUGCCUCUUCGAUUUCUGAGAUCGGCCCUCGUGGUCUCUGAGCAGCCCAGCUUUUGAGAAAGCAAGCCUCUUCGAUUUCUGAGAUCGGCCUUCGUGGUCUUUGAGCAGCCCAGCUUUUGAGAAAGCAAACGCCUCUUCGAUUUCUGAGAUCGACCCUCGUGGUCUCUGAGCAGCCCAGCUUUUGAGAAAGCAAACGCCUCUUCGAUUUCUGAGCAGGCGCCUCUUCGAUUUCUGAAGCUUCGUCGAGUGCAGAUUUUUAUAGGGGCUGACAUUAAGUUCCAAAGCACACUUGAAUAUCCACCAGUAGAAGCUCCAUUCUUGCACUUCUAAGAUCUUGAUUUGUCCGACCUCUUCUCUCUUCAACACCUUUGAAAAUGUCUGGCCCCUCCGACCGUCGUUUUGACUUGAACCUUGUUGAAGAGGCAGCCCCGCCUUCUCCAGACAACAUAUGGCGCCCAUCCUUCGUCUCCCCUACUGGUCCUCUUACCGUUGGGGAUUCCGUGAUGAAGAAUGAUAUGACCGCUGCGGGUAGUGGCCAGGAACCUUCUCACUCCCAAAGAUAACAGACUACUUUCCAAACGGUCUGAUGAGUUGGCUGUUAAGGAUUCUCUGGCUCUCAGUGUUCAGUGUGCAGGUUCUGUGUCUAAUAUGGCCCAACGCCUAUUUGCUCGAACCCGCCAAGUUGAAUCAUUGGCGGCUGAAGUGAUGAGUCUCAAACAGGAGAUUAGAGGGCUCAAGCAUGAGAAUAAACAGUUGCACCGGCUCGCACAUGACUAUGCUACAAACAUGAAGAGGAAGCUUGACCAGAUGAAGGAAUCUGAUGGUCAGGUUUUACUUGAUCAUCAGAGAUUUGUGGGUUUGUUCCAAAGGCAUUUAUUGCCUUCGUCUUCUGGGGCUGUACCGCGUAAUGAAGCUCCAAAUGAUCAACCUCUGAUGCCUCCUCCUUCUAGGGUUCUGUCCAGUACUGAGGCUCCGAAUGAUCCCCCUCCGGUGCCUUCUCUUUCUGGGGCUCUACCGACUGCUGAGACUUCUCCUAAGCAACCUUUGUGAAGGCUCCCUCUUGUUUGUUUAUUUUGACUCAAGUAUAUGUACAUAUUUGUAACUUAUCGGGGAUAUCAAUAAAUAAGCUUUCCUUCAUUUCAACGUAUUGUGUUAAAUACACCAAAGCCUUCUUCGCUAAGUUCUUUGAAUUUUCUUUUGUUGAAGCUUGUAUGUUGAAGCUUUGUGAGUGGAGCAUGUAGGUUGAGGUAGUGUUCCCUUAAUUUCCCGAGUGAGGAAAACUUCUCGGUUGGAGACUUGGAAAAUCCAAGUCACUGAGUGGGAUCGGCUAUAUGAAUCUUAGAACGCCAUUGUGUUCUGUCCUGUGUCAUGUCCUCCGUUAGAUCCAAGUACUCUAAGUCUUUUCUUAGGGUCUCUUCCAAAGUUUUCCUAGGUCUUCCUCUACCCCUUCGGCCCUGAACCUCUGUCCCAUAGUCGCAUCUUCUAAUCGGAGCGUCAGUAGGCCUUCUUUGCACAUGUCCAAACCACCGUAACCGAUUUUCUCUCAUCUUUCCUUCAAUUUCGGCUACUCCUACUUUACCCCGGAUAUCCUCAUUCCUAAUCUUAUCCUUUCUCGUGUGCCCACACAUCCAACGAAGCAUCCUCAUCUCCGCUACACCCAUUUUGUGUACGUGUUGAUGCUUCACCGCCCAACAUUCUGUGCCAUACAGCAUCGCCGGCCUUAUUGCCGUCCUAUAAAAUUUUCCCUUGAGCUUCAGUGGCAUACGGCGGUCACACAACACGCCGGAUGCACUCUUCCACUUCAUCCAUCCAGCUUGUAUUCUAUGGUUGAGAUCUCCAUCUAAUUCUCCGUUCUUUUGCAAGAUAGAUCCUAGGUAACGAAAACGGUCGCUCUUUGGUAUUUCUUGAUCUCCGAUCCUCACCCCUAACUCGUUUUGGCCUCCAUUUGCACUGAACUUGCACUCCAUAUAUUCUGUCUUUGAUCGGCUUAGGCGAAGACCUUUAGAUUCCAACACUUCUCUCCAAAGGUUAAGCUUUGCAUUUACCCCUUCCUGAGUUUCAUCUAUCAACACUAUAUCGUCUGCGAAAAGCAUACACCAAGGAAUAUCAUCUUGAAUAUGUCCUGUUAACUCAUCCAUUACCAACGCAAAAAGGUAAGGACUUAAGGAUGAGCCUUGAUGUAAUCCUACAGUUAUGGGAAAGCUUUCGGUUUGUCCUUCAUGAGUUCUUACGGCAGUCUUUGCUCCUUCAUACAUAUCCUGUAUAGCUUGGAUAUAUGCUACUCGUACUCCUUUCUUCUCUAAAAUCCUCCAAAGAAUGUCUCUUGGGACCCUAUCAUACGCUUUUUCCAAAUCUAUAAAGACCAUGUGUAAAUCCUUUUUCCCAUCUCUAUAUCUUUCCAUCAAUCUUCGUAAGAGAUAGAUUGCCUCCAUGGUUGAGCGCCCUGGCAUGAACCCGAAUUGGUUGUCCGAAACCCGUGUCUCUUGCCUCAAUCUAUGCUCAAUGACUCUCUCCCAGAGCUUCAUUGUAUGACUCAUUAGCUUAAUACCCCUAUAGUUCAUGCAAUUUUGUACAUCGCCCUUAUUCUUGUAGAUAGGCACCAAAGUGCUCGUUCGCCACUCAUUUGGCAUCUUCUUCGUUUUCAAAAUCCUAUUGAAAAGGUCAGUGAGCCAUGUUAUACCUGUCUCUCCCAAAACUUUCCACACUUCGAUUGGUAUAUCGUCUGGGCCUACUGCUUUUCUAUGCUUCAUCUUCUUCAAAGCUACAACCACUUCUUCCUUCCGGAUUCUACGAUAAAAAAGAGUAGUUUCUACACUCUUCUGAGUUACUCAACUCCCCUAAAGAAGCACUCCUUUCAUGUCCUUCAUUGAAAAGAUUAUGAAAAUAACCUUUCCAUCUGUCUUUAACCGCGUUCUCUGUAGCAAGAACCUUUCCAUCCUCAUCCUUGAUGCACCUCACUUGGUUUAGGUCCCUUGUCUUCUUUUCCCUUGCUCUAGCUAGUUUAUAGAUAUCCAACUCUCCUUCUUUGGUAUCUAGUCGCUUAUACAUAUCGUCAUAAGCCGCUAACUUAGCUUCUCUCACAGCUUUCUUCGCCUCUUGCUUCGCUUUUCUAUACCUUUCACCAUUUUCAUCGGUCCUAUCCUUGUAUAAGGCUUUACAACAUUCCUUCUUAGCCUUCACCUUUGUUUGUACCUCCUCAUUCCACCACCAAGAUUCCUUUUGGUGUGGGGCAAAGCCCUUGGACUCUCCUAAUACCUCUUUUGCUACUUUUCGGAUACAACUAGCCAUGGAAUCCCACAUUUGGUUAGCUUCCCCCUCUCUAUCCCACACACACUGGGUGAUUACUUUCUCUUUGAAAAUGGCUUGUUUUUCUUCUUUUAGAUUCCACCAUCUAGUCCUUGGGCACUUCCAAGUCUUGUUCUUUUUUUCUCACUCUUUUGAUAUGUACAUCCAUCACCAACAAGCGAUGUUGAUUAGCCACGCUCUCUCCUGGUAUAACUUUGCAAUCCUUACAAGUUAUACGAUCCCCUUUCCUCAUUAGAAGAAAAUCUAUUUGUGUUUUUGACGACCACUCUUGUAGGUGAUCACAUGUUCUUCUCUCUUCUUAAAGAAGGUGUUGGCUAAGAAGAGAUCAUAUGCCAUUGCAAAAUCCAAGAUAGCUUCCCCAUCCUCGUUUCUCUCCCCAAAACCAUGGCCACCAUGAAAACCUCCAUAGUUGCCUGUCUCCCUGCCCACGUGUCCAUUUAAAUCUCCUCCUAUAAAUAACUUCUCCGUCUGAGCAAUUCCUUGCACCAAGUCUCCAAGGUCUUCCCAAAAUUUCUCCUUCGAACUCGUAUCCAACCCUACUUGAGGUGCGUACGCACUAAUCACAUUGAUAAGUUCUUGUCCUAUUACAAUCUUGAUUGCCAUGAUUCUAUCUCCUACCCUCUUGACAUCUACAACAUCUUGUGUCAAGGUCUUGUCCACGAUGAUGCCAACACCGUUUCUCGUUCUAUUUGUGCCCGAAUACCAUAGUUUAAACCCUGAGUUUUCUAGAUCCUUUGCCUUACGACCAACCCACUUAGUUUCUUGUAGGCACAUAAUAUUUAUCCUUCUCCUCACCAUAACUUCUACUACUUCCAUAGAUUUUCCCGUCAAGGUUCCUAUAUUCCACGUUCCUAAACGCAUUUUGCUCUCUUGAACUCUACCCUUCUGUCCUAGCUUCUUCACCCUUCCCCGUCUAAUAGGAUCAAAGUACUUCUUUUGUGUGUGUCCCGUGUAAAGUUGAUAGGAGCAUAUGCUCCCAAACAACUUUGAGUGGAGUCGUUCGAAAAGAAGUUUCUAUAGCCCCCUUGCUCAUUUAACACUGCAUCCGGGUGCCGAUGGAGAUACAGCGACCCUUGCUCACUUAUCACUGUGCUCAGGCCACACAGCGCGCCACUUACGGGUGACGCCCUAGCUUUAGCGCGAUUUCGUUCUGGAUUCAUUUUCAUAAGGAUUCGACGUGAUCAUGGAGUGCCGGCUGUCGACUACCUGACGCCCUCCCCCUCCUCCUUUAUCCGGGCUUGGGACCGGCAAUGUAAGAUAAACUUACACGGCGGAGUUAUUUACUGCAACCUAAUUAGAAAAAAAAAAAAUAUAGGAAGUGAUCCAAAUGAAGGAAAGACCCAAACAAGACCACUAGUGUACCACAAUAAUAUGUUCCUUGCAUGGUAAACACGCUAACUGAAUUAUUGGAUAAAUCGUCAAGGGAACCAUUAUGAUAUUUUCUAACAUGACCACCAGCGUACCAAGGUGAGCCAAGACCUACACAAAUAUCUAUAAUUGCUAUAUUUGAUACACAGAAUACCAUUAUGCUAGAUUUUUAUAUCUAGCACAUGGUUCUUACUUAUGCACCGAUGCUCACCAUUAUAUGCAUCAUUUAGCUAAAAGAAAAUAUUUCAGCAGAUCUUCAAUUAUAACAGAAUGUAUUUCUAAUUGUCAGAAAAGAAGACCACUGGCAGAUGGUCCAUACUUUUCUUAUGCUCAUCAAGAUAGGCAUAGUUAACAGAAAGAAUUUCAAGCACAUCUUCAAUUCUUAAGAAUAUAAUUAUUGAUUACUUAUUCUAGUUCACAUAUCCCGAACCGAGAAAUUACAUGUGGGGUCAUGUGUGUAAAAUUUGAUGUGCACCACGGACAAGAAUAUUUAAAGAAUAAAGCAUGAAAAUGGAAUGAGAUAAAUUGACUUACUUGGAAAGCGGAGCGAAUCAGCUCCUCAACAUAAUCAACAGUUGCUCCUUUCACAAAAUCAUAUGAAAUAUUGUCGACCACCAACUUUACUCCUUCCUUCUCAAAUACUCUAUUAUGGAAUGUAUGGGUCCCCAGUUAACCAAGCACACUUAAUAAGCAAAAGCGUUUUUAAUCAAGAAUUAUUAUUACAGAGAUGGACUAUAAAUACCUGUCAUCUGGGUGGUGUUUGUCGUCAAGAUCAAAAACAUAUUGGAACCCAGAACAUCCACCAGUUUCUACACUCAAACGUAGCAUCUUUCCCUCUGCUUCACUGGCUUGCAGCUGUUUCAUUCUCUGCAAGACAGUCGUUGAGAAACCAAGCCCAACACAAUAUUCGUUGAGAAACCAAGCUCAACAAAACAAUUCAGGAUUACAGACGCAAAAUGUCAUAGGUUGCAUUAAACUCUCUUCACCAGAAAACUGCAUAUUACGAGCAUGAUAACCGAUUCAAUAAGAACGACAAACAGAUAUGCUACUCAAAUUAUAUGAUAGAAUAAAACCGUUUAGCCGAUUAGUCUUCGUGCAUCCACUAGAAAUUUUGAAGAAAAAAUUCCAAUUAGCACAACCCAUUUCAUUUUUUUUCUAGUCUGUGUUUCUAUUUUGUGAUUCAUUCAUAAAAUCAUCGAAAAUGGUUAGCUAAGCAACAGAAUUAAAACCAUUACAGAUUAAUAACCCAAAAAUAAAAGUGGAAAAUACAGGCAGCCCAAAUGUCAAAUCGCACCGAAAAAAAAAAAGCGAAGGAGAGGGAGAGAGGGAUUACUUGAACACAGGUAUCGGUCAUGUGAACGGAAUCGAGGUCGAGGGCCGGAGAUGGAGAAGAAGAAGAGGCUUCUUCGACAGCAGAAGAGGAAGAGGAAUAGAAGAAAGAAGAGGAUAGAAGCCUCUGGUUCUGCCUGAUUCGAGCUGCAAAGUAGGGCGCGAGCCGGUGAAGAAUCAGAGAUCGCGGUGGACCCAUCGCCUAAUAACGGACCUGUUGGGAUUUUGGACUACAAGAUUUGGGGUGGUUCGGGUGGUCGUCGGCGAAUACGGGGGUCCGGGUGGGGGACAGCGGGAGGGGCUGGCUGGGCUGUGGUCGGGAUGAGGGGCAGAAGGGAGACGCUGCAGGGUAAGGGAGAGGGCCUGGUGAGGGAGAGGACUUGUAAGAAGGGAUAUAACGUCACGUGUCGCUCGUUAUAAUUAGUUUUUGAAAUUUCUUUGUGCUCACCUCCGUAGAAAUAUCAAAGAAAUCACUUAAAUUUUGAUUGAAAUCGACAGAUUUCGUCGAUGUUUGUUAUAUAUCGGUUAAAUAUUGACAAAAUGUCAUAUGACAUUGUCAAAGUUUCAUUUUUAAUUCCGCGUUUUUUAGCAAAUUUACAUUAUUUUUAUCAAAAUGGAUGAUAUCGAUAUUUUCAUAAAUUUGCAUAUCGCUAUUUUCACCGAUUUCAAUACUUUAAACACUGCUUAUAAUAAUAUAAGACCUACUCUGGUGGACCCAAACCCAAAUAUUUAAGUCCACUAAAAGACAUAAUUUAAGCCUUUAAACAAUGAAUGUCACCCAACCAUCCAAACCUAAAUUUCAGGACCUAAAAUGUGUUAAUUGUUGUAGAUGGCUUUAGCCCUAUUAUUUUCAGUAAGGAUUUUUUUUUGUUACUUUGAGUUAUAUUAUCGUAAUUUAAGUUUACAAAUGUUUAACCUAAAAAUUUAAAUUCCGACAAAACUUUCAAAACCGAACAAAUCACACCAACCAACAACUUGAACAAUAAUAAAAAACAUAAAUGAUAGUUCAUAACAUAAAUGAUGGAUCAUAACAUAAACUAAAAACUUGAACAAUAAUUGAAAACAUAAAAUGAUAGUUCAUAUAAGCUAAAACUAUUCACCUUUGUCCUAGUGAUGGGAUUCAAAAAUAAUCGUCGGGAUAGUUUGCAGCACUUGAACCUGAAUCUUAUGCAUUAUGAGUCUUCAUAAUUUCAUCUUGCAUGUCAACAUAAUACUUCUUCUUUCUUGGAGUAUAUUGGCUGAAGUUCUUGGACAGGAUUGAGUCCUCAUAAAAAAAAUUUCUCCAACAUCAUUUGCUUGUCAAUGAGAUCCAUUUUUCUUCUUCUAUCUACCUCAUAGUUACCCCAUUCUUUGCCUCUGAAACUUGACAAUGUGAUCUAAAUAAGUGUGGCGCACUUGACAUAGGGUGGUUGUGUCCUUCAUUGAAAACUAUUACAGCAAACUUUUUCGGAUUAGCGUCCACCCUCUUCUUGUCUUGUUUGCAACAAACAAAUUAUUUCCUUAACCAACAUUCACCAUCACUGGACUUUGUACUACUAUGCUGCUCCCGAAUGCUAAAUUCGGUUGCAAGUGCGUAAUUGUUGUAAAAAGUAUACCCUUCAUACAAUGACUCAAAUUCCAUUUUCAAUUUUGGUUUCAAUUCAUUGUCUACCGUUGGAAAAACUAAUUCAACCCUCCCUACACUAAAUUGAUCCCCUACAUCUACAUCCUUUCUUUCCACCACAAUUUCUUCUAUUCCUAACUCACCCUCCCCCAUCGAAUGACACUUCUAUGUCUACCUGCUACAAAUCUACACAACCCAGCACAAGUUUUGCACCUAUAUAUCUAAAAUCCAAUUUUACGAUUUUAGCCAAGUCCAGUGGUAACCAUCCACCAUUGUGGAUUCAAACCUAGAAUUACAACCAAAAUGGAAUGCAAUUGGAUUAUUAUAGAGGUUCUGGAUUUCUUCAUAGACUAGCCUUCACAUUCUUAGUUUCCUCAGACCUUCUAGAUAAACCCCCAUUGUCAACUCCAACCCAAGCACGUCUUUAAUCCACACCAAAUCAAGAUAUCACACCCUUGACCAACUCUUUCUCUGCCUCUCUUUCUUGGGGAAGACAAACCCAAUAUCUCCCUUUCUCGAAGACAAAAACAUACCCAGUGAACCAAAACAAUUAAAGGUACAAGAUUACCAGGUCACUGUCGCAAUGCACAUUCAAUUCAACUGAAAUCGAUUCCUCACCCCAACUCCCUCUGUCUACCUCUCUUUCCCUUUUCAGCACACCAAGAAUCCCUCAGCUACCCACCUCCUCCUUACUCUCUGACCAAAAUAUGACCAAUGCAAAAAAAAUUUAAAAUUUUUUAAUUGCGCUAGGUCAUAACAACCCAGUUCUACCGUGAGCUCAGCAACUUCUAACCGUCCGAUUUUCACCCGCACCUUAUAAAUGCCCAUCUUUGAUAGCUACUAGUUUUAUGUGAAUCAUGUGGGCUAUUUGUUUUGUGAUCAACUUAUUAACUAUUGAAGGAUAUAGGUGGCCCUUGUUAUGAUAAUUGUGAAUCAAAAUUAUGUAGUACUGAUUCUUUAAUUUAAGUCUUUUGAUCUUGGACAGACAUGUAUCAACUUUAAUUCAUAUGUUGUUGGUGGUGCUUUUGCUGCUAUAAAUCUUGAUGUGAAGUCUAGACUUUUGUGUUUGGCUUUCCUUAUCAAUAUUGUAAUUGUACCACACAUGCUCCAAUUAGUUUUUAGAAUAUCUCCUUAACGGCUUUUGUUGUUGGGAAUAAGUGUUCAAGGUUGUGGCACAUCAUCUCAAAGGUUUGUUCAUGCAUAUGCAUUUCAUGUUUAACUUACUGAUGCAUUUCGACUAGUAACCUUGUUUCGUCAGAGUUGCUUGCUGCUGACACCUUUUAUACGAGAUUUAGCUUUUCACCAUUGAUCUACUUAGAUUGCUUGUACAUUUAAAAGUCUCUUUGUACCUUGUUUGCAGAAAUCAAAGGUUUUGUUUUAAUAGGGUUAGAAGAUUUCAUUUCCUCUUUGGAGAGAGUGUCUAACCCUCAACUAGCUGCCUCUUCCUCUAGCACUCCUCGCAAACCUAGAAUCUGCUCUAAGAGCUAUGUCCCUAGUUGGGAGAAUCCUUUUCCUAUUCCGGCUGAACAUCUUUACCAUGGAGCGUGGUGUGACUCGCGUUAAAACCUACUUAUGCUCGUCCGUCAAUGUUGAGCAUAUGCUGUCUAGGGCUCUCAUAGGGAAGAUGUUCAGUCAAACCCUUGACUCUCGCUUGAUCAAGUGGAAGCUGGGGCUGUAUGGAAGAACGAGGUGAAGAUCACCUUCUAUUUGGACCAUUUUGGUAGGAAGUUGUUUGCUCUUGAAUUCAUGGAUGAGGAUGACUUAAAAUUCGUCAUGAAGAAUCGACCAUGGUAUAUUCGUGGACAAAUCUUCCACUUGGAACGGUGGACAACAAACUUCAAGGACACGGACGUCAUUACCAAGUUGGUUGUUUGGGCUCGGCUAUCUUGAGUCCCUGUGUAAUACAAAAAGGAGAAGAUUAUCAAGGAUAUUUCGCAACCGCUAGGUCAUGUGAUCAAAGUGGAUGAGGUAACUUUAGGUUUAAACAACCUGUUUGUUAAAGUUCUUUUAGAAGCUGACUUACGCUUCCCCCUGAAGCGUGUCCUCAUUGUUAACCAUGAGUAUGACUACCCAAUCUUUAUCAGUUAUGAAAAGAUUUUUGAAGUCUGUUUUUACUGCUGGAGAAUGAGGCUUGAGGGGCAUGUGUGCCCUGAAAUUGAAGCAAAUGGUGGUUGUUCCAUGAUUGACAAGGUUUUUUAUGAUGACCCAUCUGUUUAUCUGGAGGACGUGGUUGUUGAUAAUGAUGUUAAUGCUAGUUUGCAAAAUGAUGUGAUGCUUUGUUUUCCAAAUCCAACAAUUGUCGAGGAGUACACGGAAGUUGAGGAAUCUAGGCAACAUGUUGAGGAUAUAGGGCCUGAAGAGGAGGGUUGGACUAUAGUUGUACCAAGAUGGAGGAAAAAAAUGAACAAGAGGAAAAUGGGUGAUAGUUCUAAGGAUGACAGGUCGUAUAGAGAAGUGGUUGCUAGCCCUAAGCCAAAGUGGGUAGCAAAGGCUAAUAUCGUGCAGGAUUGGAGAAGGGCUGGGAAAUCAAAGCAAAGAGAGCAGCAGGUAAGUGGGAACAAAGAGGAUUAUCGGGACAAUGCAAAUCAUUAUUCUCAACUGGCUACCGAUUAUAUAAUUGAUUGGAAUCUGUCUGAUUUACAAAUGUUUGAUGAUUUGGUUGAGCUUUUGUUUCCAUUUGAGUCUUACUAUAAUAAUGAUCCUAGGCUAGGCAAGGUAAAUUUCUUUGAUGCUAUGUGUGUUUUGUUAAAAAAUCAAGUUAUGAUGAUGUCAAAUGUGGGAAGUUGUGAGUCCAAAGCUAGGGAGAACUCGGGAAGCUUUGUUGCAGCCGUGCUUGUGGCUGAGGUGGCUUCCGUGAGUGCUAGGCCAACUGUGGGAAUGAUGAGUCCAAGAAAAUGUGUCCGUGAAGAGGAAGCUGUUGAGGCUAGUCCAUCCGCUUCUGUUGAGGAAAUAAACUGAUGAAGGGUAUUGUUUGGAAUUGUAAGGGUUGGGGAAGACUUGAUUUUACUAGUAAUUUUAGCUUUCUUAAUAGCUUGGUUAAGCUAGACUUCUUUUGUUUUGUAGAAACAAAGUCUAAUGUGGAUAAAGCCCCUAUUAGUUGUUUUAGAAGGUUGUUUUUAUCAAUCUUUUGGUUUUAACCUUGAGGGGAGAUCGGGUGGCAUAUUUAUGUGUUGGAAUCAAUGUAUUAAAAGCGUGAGGCGUGGGUGAGGCGUUCGAGGGAUAACCCAGCCUAGGCAUGAGGCAAAGCCUCACGAGACUUAAAUUUUUUAAUAUAUACACUAAGUGUACACAUAUAUUAUAUUAAAAAAGAAGAAGAUUAUUAAUCAAUAAUCACUCUGAGUACACAUAUAUUAUAAAUAUACACACACACACACAAAUAUAUAUAUAUAUAUACAUAUAUUAUAUUAUAUAUAUAAUAGACGAUGUAAAGCAUAGUGAGCACACAUAUAGCAAUGCACGAAGACAGUAAACACCUCUAUUAUAUAAAAAAAAUAAAAAUAAGAAAAAAAAAUAGGGAGACGAUAGUGCAAGGAAGAGGUAUGAGGCAGUUAAAACCCUACCCAAAAUUUGGGUUUGGGAGUUUGGGAAAAAAAAAAAAAAAAAACCCUGAGGCGCCCCUAGGUGGCUCCAACGAAGCCUUUCGCCCACUCCAGCAAAACAGAGGCCUUCGUCUUAUCGCCCAGCCUCAAAGGUGCCCUAGGCGUGCCCAAAGGCUAGUUUUCUUAAAACAUUGGUUGGAAUGAUAGUGCACUUAAUCUGAAUGUGAUUGAUGUUUCUCCUAGACAUAUCCAUGCUCUAGUUAAAGAUGUGCGUGCAAACAUUGAGUACUAUGCUAUUUUUGUCUAUGUCUAUCCUCAAAAAUCUCUCCAAGAUAGUUUGUGGGAGGAGUUUUUAUCCUUAAACCCCGACGAUAAGCCCUGGAUGUUGCUAGGAAACUUCAACAAUAUUACAUGCAUUCAGGAAAAAUAGGGUGGAACCAAAGAGUCAAUGCUCGUAUGACUAAAUUUGUGGACUUCUUGAACAAUGAUGGGCUUAUUUUGUUACAAGCUUCGGGUGUUCCUUUCACUUGGAUUAACAAACACAAGGAUGACUUGCUUAUUUUUGAGAGAUUAGACACGGUCAUUGCCAAUUCCUAUUGGUUUGAAUUGCACCCAAGCUAUAUUCUUCACAAUUGUCCUAUCCUGGGGUCUAACCACAGUCAUGUGUUUAUUGAUACCGUUGGUUCUCAAGUUAGUCGAAAAAGAAAGUGCUUCAAAUUUGAAGCCAUUUGGAAUCUUCACCCUGAGUUUAAACAGUUUGUUAAGGGGGCUUGGAAUGCAGUGAGGGACUUCCCCUCUUAAUCAUUUUAGAGGUUGCUUAAGUACUUUUGCGUUUCUUGUUAAACAUUGGAAUCGUGCUAUUUUUGGGUCAGUUAGGGAGAAAAAAAGAUAAAAUUUUGAAGGAGCUUGACACACCCCGACCGAGAUCAAGGCAUGCUGGCCGUCACGUGAGAGUGACGUAGCCAUGUGCACAAUGUGGAAACAAUAAAGAUAGCAACUAUACGAAUAAUUAAAAACCAGAUUACUAAAGUGCAUUACUAAACGAAAGUGAUAGGAGUUAGUUACAACAGUGAACGCUCCUAAUCAGAGCAUAAAGUCUAGGUGCAGUCCAGUAGGACAAGUACUAGUUACACAGUACCAGGAAUGUCUUACUAUUAUUCAAAUAGGUCAGAAUUGCUGACGAUCCCGAGCCACCAACAGCAAGCUUACUUAAAACCUAGAGGGGCGCAAAACAGAAAAUGUGAGUGGGCAAAAACAAAUGUUUUACAAAAUCGUUUUCUUAUGAACAUAUCUAACCCCUCGCUGUAAAACAUGUAUAAUUUUUCUCAGAAUCAGAAUAUAAGCAAAUGCAUAAUAUAUAUAUAUAUAUACACACAUAUAUACAUAUAUAUGAAUUCAUAUCAAUUCAAUUCAUGCUUCACAUAAUCAUAUUCAGAUAUAUAUACCAUGCCCAUAUAUAACAGAGUAAACAAUUUAGGUAAAAAUGAAUUCAUAGAAAUAUGAUAUGUUAGCCGAAACCCCUGUGGUAGUUUGUACGGCUGAAUUCAUAGCUCAAAAUCAAUCUAGUCAGAGUCACUACAAUGACUUAUACGGCAAUAUAUUGCACAUAAGUCGGAACCCCUACAAAGGUCUGUACAACAAGAUUGGGUGUAAUAUAAUUAUGCUCAAUUUUACUCUCUCAUAAUAGCCGGGCGAUAAAUCGCUAGUCACCUACGAGUCGGAACCAUAAAUAAGGUAUGUACGACAAGACUGUGUACUUAGGUUGGAUCCAAUGUGAGCAUAUAGUGCGGGAGGUGACGUAAAUAAACAGGCCUGUACUUUAUAUCUCUGGCUAAAUCAUAAACACCCUAGGUGCAGUUGUAUGAGCUCAACAUUACUUAAUUACAUAUCACAUAUCACAUCAUCGAUGAUUCACGCAAUCAAACAUAACUUACCUGCACUCACCUGUGCCUCCACAGCACCUCAUUUAUAUAUAUAUGCAACCAUGCAAUGCAUAUUCAAAAUAUAGAAGCAUUUGGCAUAUUAUUUCAAAGCAUACUUUCCUUAAAAAUGCAUUUAUGGGAAAUAUACCAAGUAUAUAAAUAUAUACUGAAAACAAAAGUCCACUCACUAAUAUGUCGAAGGGUCGUAGCCCUCGAGUCACCCGUGGAUACGCUCGUCCUCGGGAUAAGCUUCACAUAUAUGUGAAUUAACUAUAAAACAUACGCAAUACUAGCUAAUAACUUCUCAUACAUUACUCAAAAUAGGUAUAUGAAUAUACCACAGUGAUCUACAUAACCUCAGGAUCAUCCCCAUAUUUUUAGAAAUAUUUUUGGACCUCCCAUGCGCCGCCACGCGUCGGCGGGUGCACGGGCAAGACGUGCCACCACGCGCAUGGAAUCCUGACAGAUUCCUUAACUGCCGUUAGGAAUAUUCCUCAUAAUAUUCCAUUAAAACCCAAUGGAAACCGUCCAAAUUAACUGACGCCAUGAGAAUAUUCCGUCCAAACUGACGGAAUAUUCCGUCUUCGUCCCCAACGAGUCACCGGUCGCCGGAAAACUGGUUAAAACUUUAAACUCACUAUGCUCACUCAUUUCUUAACCAUUUUUAUGAAAUUUGAACCAAAUGAAAGCUUAGAGUGAGAAGAAUGGCAUUAUACCUAUUUGGAGCUUCAAAUCUCACGAAAUUCCGACCAAACCUGCAACUCUUCAUUUCCCACGAUCCCGACAUCCAAAUUCUUCAAAUGAACUACCCCGAUACUCAUGAGAACCUCAUUAAGCUUCCUAUGAGCUUAGAAUUCCCUGAAAAUAACAUAUUUACGUGUGCAUGAACAGUGCACAAUUCGAGGGUUAGGUUUCACGGGGUUUUCGAAGGUUUCAGGUUCUAAAACUUGCACCAAUGGACUCCUGAGGUCAAAAGGAACAUGAAAUUGCUUACCUUGGUUUCGAUCUGCAAGGUUUGAGAUGGUUCUUGGAUUUCCCAUACGAAAAUGCCGAGAGGAAGAGAGAGAAAAGUCCACGGGAGAGAGAGAAAAGGUAUGUGUGUGGUCCAAAAGCCACCAAUCAAAAACCAAUAAUUCCCUUACUUCCAAUUGGGUCCAAAAACUUAGGGAAAAAUAACAAAUGGGUCCAAAUCCAACUUAAAUCACACAAUACACUUUAACGUCUAAGGGUAAAAUUGUCAUCGAAAAUAAUCUUUCGAGACGGGCUGUGACAGAGCUGGACUGUGUCUAGAAGGAACUUAUAUCUUUCAACUAUAAUGCUAACUCCUCAAACAAUUUCAGUGAAAAAGUUCACCUAGAGGCUCAAAUUAAUGAAAGUCUUGCUCAAGUCCUUAAGGAGGAGGAAGUGAUGUGGGCGCAAAAAACAAAAUCUAAUUGGUUAAAGCAUGGUGAUAAAAAUACAAGAUUUUUCCAACUUUGUGCUACAAUUAGAAGAAAGCAAAACAAAAUUAAUAAAAUCAAAGAUGGCAAUGGUAUUUGGUGGUAGAGGUAAGGGCUUGGAGCAAGUUUUUGUGCAGGAAUUCAAAACGAGAUUCACCAAUCGAUCCAACCCCCCUCCUCACUGCUGAGCACACCAACUUGAUCUCUCAUGUAAUAAAACCAUGCAUUUCGAAUGAUCAUAAUACCAUGUUAACUGAGGCUCCUUCAAGUGACGAGAUUUGGAAUGCUAUUAAAAGCAUGGAGGCUCUUAAAGCCCCAAGGCCGGAUGGUAUCCAUGCGAGUUUCUUCUAAGAAUGCUGGGAGGAGGUAGGGCCUUCAAUGUGCAAUGUGGUGAAAGACUUUUUUGUAAUUAACACAAGCCUAAAGUUAAUCAACCAUACCAACAUUGCCCUAAUCCCAAAAGUGGAGAAUCUGGAAACAAUCAAUAAUUAUCGCCCAAUCAACCUCUAUAAUGUUAGCUACAAGAUUAUAACGAAAGUAAUGAUCAUUAGGUUAAGGCCCCUUUUGCAGGAGUGUCUUUCGCCCAACCAAUGAGCCUUUGCUUCAGGUAGGUCAAUACAGGAUAAUAUCCUUAUUGCUCAUGAAUUGUUCUCAACUUUUAACAGGAAGAAAGGUAGAACUAGGUAGCUAGCUAUCAAGCUAGAUUUAGAGAAAGCGUAUGAUCUCUUAAACUAGGACUAUAUUAAAUGUGUAUUGGAAAGGUUUGGGUUUUGUACUAAGUGGAUUAACCUAGUUAUGGAAUGUAUAUCUUCAACUUCUUUUUCCAUUAACAUUAAUGGUAAGUCUCAUGGAUAUUUCAGUGCAAGUAGAGGUAUUAGGCAAGGGGACCCAUUAUCCCCCUAUAUUUUCAUCCUUUGCAUGGAACCCUUGAUUAGGAAGUUGAAUGAGUUAGCGUAUACCCCAAAAUCCCAUAUUGGCCUACUCACUUCCCCGUUUGGCUACAAAGUUUCUAAUCUUGUUUUUGCAGAUGACUGCCUUAUCUUUGCCAAAGCAUCUCCAAGGGGUGCCAUGAAGGUUUUAGAAGUUCUAAAUUGUUUUGCAAGUGCUUCGGGUCAACAAAUAAACUUCAACAAGUCUUCUUUAUACUUUCCCUCUAAUACAACUAACCAGUUACGAAGUGAAAUUGUUAACAUUCUUCAUAUUCAACAUAAGAUCACCAUUGGAAAAUAUCUCGGUAUACACAACAUUGUGUUUUGGAAUGACCAUUUAAAUGGGAACGAGCUAAUUAGGAGAUUCAAACAAAAACUUGCUGGUUGGAAGGCCAACACCCUUUCAAAGGAUGGUAAAUCGCCAAAAUGGUCCAUAAGAUUUGCAUAACUCAUCACUUUGAUCCCUGAGAUUCCAAAUCGAUAAAAGUGGUCAUUGAGAUUGUCCACCAUCCAUCAUUUUGGUCAUUAUGUUAAAAACUCCGUUAAGUGUCCCGGAGCUCUUAGCCGGAAGUUUGGGCAAUUUUCAAAGCUUCAUAACUCAAUUGUUUCUUAACCAAAUUCGACCCAUAAUUUAUCAAAAUGAAGAUAGAAAAGUGUAGAAUAAGAUUAUACCUAUUUCAAAGCUGAAUGGUUGCUAGAGAUGGCAGGAAAAUAACCUCAAAGUUGACUGGUCCGAGUGAAAACUAGGGGUGGGCAAACGGGUCCUGGACCCGCGGGUCGGGGCGGGUACGGGGCGGGUCCAAAAAUAAGAAGGAACGGGCCCCCGGCCCGGCCCGUUUGUAGCAUGCAAUAAUGGAUUGGAAUUGGAUUAGAGUGAUGUUGUGGCCCACUGGCCCUUGACUUACAAGGUCACCCACCAAAUUGGACCAAAUUUGGGAGGCCUUCAAGGUCUCUGUAACCAAUACGUGUCAGAGCAUUUUUAUAUGGUUUAAUUGAAUCCAACUCUCCAACUUUUUUAUCCCCUCAUCUGAUCUCCAGAGACUUUCAUGAUUUCAUCAACCUCCAUUUUCCAUUCAUUCACACUUGAGCUUGUGUCGAGUUCUCGACAACAGUCCGACUUCGCCGAUUUCGCGGCAUUCUUGACUCGAUCUACUACCUCGUCGCCACGAUCCAGGACUGGGAUAGACUCUCAUGGCCGCCGACUAGUCCGUCUGCGUUGCGCAUGUGGGUUUCUUACGGAGCAGGCCACUAUUCCUCUCCCUAACUCGUCUUCUCCUCUCUCCUUGACUCGUUUUUUCUGGGUUUUUUUAUGGUUCUGAUUUUGUGUUGGUUGGGUUUAUUUUUUAUGGUUCUGAUUUGUCGCCUUCUCCUCUCUCCCAGAUGACGAAGGAAGAGGGCUUGAACGGUAUGAGCUGCAUCUGGGUUGUCGCGGAGGAAACGGGGUUCGACGACUGAGGAAGACGACUUGAACCACGUCGUCCCUUUCUGUGUUGACGAAAAAAAUUAUGUAAUAGGAACUGUGUACCUGCCCCGAACCGGCCCGUUUGAAACGGGCCGGGUUAGGUCCGGUUCUAAAACUCUAAAGCACUCUACCCGGCCCGGCCCGCCUCGUUACAUUUUAAAACAGGUAGGUCCGGUUCCUUCAAAUUUGAGCCCGGCCCGACCCGUGCCCAGCCCUAGUGAAAACUUGAAAACUCGCCGGAAACUAGGUAAACUUUAAACGUUCAUAACUUCUUCAAUACUCAACGAAAUCAAGUGAUUCAAAAACGAAAAUCAUACAUCUCGAUGAGAGAAAGAGAAUGGUACCCUUUUUUAUGGCUAACUAGUCGUAGUUUGGCCGGAAAACGGCUUGAAAGUGGCUAACUCGAGACUAAGAUAGCCACUUUCGAGCUGUGUUCCGGACAAAUCAUAGUGCGUUAGCCAUAAAAAAGGUACCAUUCUCUUUCUCUCGUCGAGAUGUAUGAUUUUCGUUUUUGAAUCACUUGAUUUCGUUGAGUAUUGAAGAAGUUAUGAACGUUUAAAGUUUACCCAAUUUCCAACGAGUUUUCAAGUUUUCACUCGGACCAGUCAACUUUGAGGCUAUUUUCCGGCCAUCUCCGGCACCAUUGGGCUUCAAAAUAGGUAUAAUCAUAUUCUACACUUUCUUAUCUUCAUUUUGAUAUAUUAUGGGUCGAAUUUGGUUAAGAAACGAUUGAGUUACGAAGCUUUGAAAAUUGCCCAAACUUCCGACCAAGAGCUCUGGGACACUUAAUGGAGUUUUUACUAGAAGGAUUAAAAUGAUGGAUGAUGGAAAAUCUCAGAGACCACUUUUAUCGAUUUGGAAUCUCAGGGACCAAAGUGAUGAGUUAUGCAAAUCUCAGAGACCAUUUUGGCGAUUUACCCUUCAAAGGCAAGAAGACUCACUCUUGUCCAAUCAAACCUUUCAGGUAUGCCUAAUCAUAUUAUUUCUUGUUUUAAAUGCCCUUUAAGUUAAUAAGCAAAUUAAACAGGGAUUGUAGACAGUUUUUAUGGGGCAAUAGUCAUAAAUGUAAUCCUGCGAGUUGGAAGGAAAUUUGUAGACCAAAGAGUGCGGGUGGCUUAGGUAUCAGGAACCUAGACCAUUUGAAUAAGGCUUGUCUUGCUAAACUAGGUUGGAAAGUGCUUUUUGAUAAGGAUAAUUGUUGGGCUAAUAUAGCCAGAAGAAAAUACCUUAGAUACAUAUGAUGGGUUUCUAGACACCAAAACUAAGCAAAACCACUCGCUUGCCUAAAAUCCUGGGGUCCCGAGACAUUAUCAGUAGGGGUAUGAGGUGGGUGAUGGCAAGGACAUCAUGUUCUGGACUUUCUGGACUCACAACUGGGUUUUUCCUCACCCUCUCUUUCAUCUCAUCCCAGAAAAUCAAGGACAUGAAAUUCAAUAGGGAGAUCAAGGUUGCUGAUUUUAUUGUUGACAGGCACUGGGAUAAGAAUAGGUUAAAUCAAGUAAUAGACACCUAUACAGCAAAUAAAAUCUGUAAUAUUCCUAUUCCUAUUCAUUCUUCCAAGGAUGCAGUUGUCUAGGGGCCUAGUAAUAAUAGUAAGUUCACGGUAAAAUCUGCAACUUGGUUUCAAAUGGAGGAUCUUGGCCAUUCCCCAUCUCAAAACCUUAUAAAUAGAGUGUGGAAGCAAGUCUUGCCUCCCAAACUAAAGUUAUUUGCGUAGAGUCUCAUCAAAGGUAAACUUCAAACUAGAAAGAAGCUAAGCAGGUUCAUUCCCAAUAUAAAUACUCAGUUCCCCAUGUGCAACAACCAAGAGGAAGAUAUUGAUCAUCUGUUCCUCCACUGCCAGUAUGCUAAGUAGGUUUGGAGUUGUGCCACUGAUAUGUCUUUAUCAAAUUUUGAUAUCAACCUCAAGAUAAGUGAUUGGUUUGUGAACCUCUCUCACAAAAAUUCGAAUGCUGUAAGCAAUUUUAGCAAAGCUAUUUCUAUUUGCUGGCAGAUUUGGAAUGGUAGAAAUGGAUGCAUUUUCAGGAAAGAAAGGCAUAUCCAUACCAGAGCUUUUAUCCGGGCUAUGUCUAUGGUUAAUGAGUAUUUCAAGGAUAAUGUGAAGAGCUGGGAAAAUACGCUGGUAACAAGUGAUGAUAAAGUGAUCAAAUGGAAUUGUCCAUCGUACCCAUAUGUUAAAAUAAAUUUCGACGGUUCGGUGUCAAACUCCUUGGCGGCGGGAGGUUUCAUUAUCAGGAACUGGAGCGGUAAACCUAUUCUCGCUGGUGCUAUGAGUUUGGGGUCUUCUACCAUCAAUGUUGCUGAGGCCAUGGCGCUGUGUGAGGCACUAAUCUGGGCUAGGAGGAGAAACUUGACGCAUGUGUGUGCGGAGGGUGACUCAAAACUUAUCAUUGAUGUUGUUCGUGGUGCUUGCGAAACACCGUGGAACUUGAGGUCUAUCAUUGAAGAUAUCAGGUAGUGUGCCUCUUUCUUCCAGGAUAUCAAGUGGGGGCAUGUUUUCAGGAAGGCGAAUUUUGUUGCAGAUGUUAUGGCAUCUAUUGGGCUGAAAAUGGAUAAUCUUUGUAUAUGGGAUCCUUGUCUUCCUGUCGAAGCAAACUUAGCCCUGUUAUUUGAUUGUAAUGGCUCCGGCUGUGUGAGGGGCUUCUCUCUUUAAUGAAGUUUUAUUUUUCCAUAAAAAGAAUAAUUAAAAAAAAGAGUUAAGUUCUGCUGUGACUAGUUUUAUGGACAAGUAAUUUACCCAGAUUCAAAAACAUUGUGUUUCAUCUGAGAAAUGUUACUCCAAAUGCACCCGUUUUGUCAUUCAAGAUCGUGCACAGUUUCGUUGUUUUGCUAUAAGCGGGUUCUUGAAUUUGUUGAGGCACAUUAUUAGUGAAAUAUAAAUUGAGAAUGUCUUGUGUUACAAUUUACAAACUACAGGUUUUCACACAUUUUGCUGAUGCAUUUCCUUAGUUGACACGACAAACUUUUUUCCGGGAGAUUAUUGUGCCUGUAUAGUGAACAAGAACUCUCAAGUUUGUUAAUAAAGAUGAAACAAAUCGUAGGCGAAACUGAAGAACAAGAAUCUACACAUCAACAACUAAUUUUUGUGACUUGUGAACUGGGAACAUGCAUCAGUAAGAAACAAUGUAAAAAGAAAACAAAUUAUAAGACGCAUUCAAUGUUUUCGCACUUCUGGAUUUUUGUCUGCGCCUUAUAUUACGUCUAAGAAUCAUACAAGCUAGGGAAGACGCCGUUCUCUACAUUUACAGGUUCAAUCCACCGCAGUGACAACAAGAAUAACAGAAAAUAUGUAAGUAAGCAUAAAUCCUCAUCAACAUAAUAAUUCGGUCAGUUUUGGUUUGAAAAAGGAAGUUGAUCACUAGGAGCUUCCAAACCCAAGAAACUGGUCUACUAGUUUUGCUACAGACUUUGCCAAGCUGUCUGCUGCAUUCUGUGUGGAUGCCUCUGCAUAUACGCGUAUAACAUCUUCUGUUCCUGAUGGUCGUAUAAAACAUCGGCCUCUAGGGUAUUUAACCGCAAUCAACAGGGAAAAUCCUCAAAAAUUUGUUUGUAAAUUGUAUAUACCAGUAAAAUUAGGAAAAAUGGCAAAUUUUCCUGUGCAACAAACAAAUACUGCUAAUCAACUUAACGGUGCAGACCAAUAAUCAACACGGAUAUCGUGCAGAGCAAAGGACUGAACUGUAUGAAAAAUGAAAGGAGAAAUCUACUUACCGGUUUCAGCGUCAAUGGCUUCUUGAAUGCCAGGGGGUGUCACAGCAGCCACAGUUUCUGCAUUUUCUGUAACAACAGCAGUUCUGUCCAUAACCUUGACCUGAUAAUUGUGAAGCAGAAGAAUUAGUUUCUAGGCACGUUGCGUCCAACAAGAAUAUGGAGGAAACUCAAUUAAUUUUUAAAACAGAUAACAAGAAAGCCCGAAAAGAAAACAACCAUAAAGACAAUAAACUGACCAUAAGAUAGACAGAUGACCAAGGAAACUUGCCUUAAGCUGCCUACUGGGUAGAUCCUGAUAAAGCUCAUUCCACCUCUGUAUCGACCACCCCAUAUGUUUCAGAAUGACCUCAACCAAGAGUACCCCACUCAACGCGUCCCCAACAGCCUGGUUAAUUAAUUCACUAACAGCCAAGAUUCUCAAAGCUGCCUUAUGCUGUUCUGAACCUGAAAAGAAACAAUCAUGUUCUUCAUUUAGAUAGGUAACGGACGAUCAUGUCAGCACUAAUGUAGUGGAUAAAGACUGCUUUAACCUUUAAAUGCAUCAGCAAGCUCAGUAGUCCUGGUCUCUAACCAGCGUAAGUAAUGUUCUGAGAACAAGAUGGUGCCAUGACCAUUUGCUUCAAAGUAAAUCCCAAUAUCAUACUUGGCAGCUUUCUCAUGAAGGUAUUUCACUCCUGUAGGAGUAAAAGUGACUUCUAGGCCUAACUGUUUGAGAUAAUCCAUGGAUGCUCCGUUUGGAUAAGCUGUUUGCACAAUACCAAGGCGACAUUGAUAAUCAUUAUUUCCAUUAACAUCUAUUUCCUUACUCAAAAUGCUUAGUUGCUCCUUGAUGAAUAUAGCAAACAAAGAUAAAAUCUUGUCCCCAUCGACGAGUUCAAUCUUAUUACUACUUCUAGAUGGCACAAUAAAAUAUACAAGCCGAUCAGCAUCACCAUCCAAACUAGCACACCUGAAAAGCUAGAACCAUCCAUACAGUUAGUCCCUGCCUUUGACAUCUAAUGUAACACUUUAGAUCAGUAGUUGAGCAUUACUAAUUGACCAAAUAGAAAAUUUAAGUAGUUUGAAACCCCGAAACAAUGGUUGGAUAUUGCACACUGGCAUCCUUUGGUACCAAACUAGUAUUGGGGUAAAAACAUAUUUAAAAUAAAACCAAACUUGUAUCGUAGCCAACAAAUGUUUGCAUCAAUGAAAAGAUACAUCCAUUGUAAGCAAUCCAACAAGUUGUUAAAUCGGAUCAAAAUUCAAGUUUUCCAAUAGUAGUAUGCUAGUACGACAAACUUUAGUAAUGUUUUCCAAUGUGUUGCAAUAAAGCAUACGAUAAUAAUAACAAAUCAACAAGCCACCAAAAUUCAGGGUUUCUCCCAUCUAUCUCAUAAUCUCAUUAACGUAGUAUAUGUACUUGCAUCCAUAUGUACACAACAGAAUUUGUCAGGAUAAUGCAAUCAUCAGUCAUUCUCCAGCAAUAUCUCUAUGAUGCAGGCAUUUCAAGCAAGUUACUUUAAGUAACUGAUAAUCAAAAUUCAUUUCACAAUCCACAUAUAACUGACCUAAUCCCAACAUCCUGUGAACCAAAACUACAAGGAACGACCUUUUCUUUCUGCACAUGAUCAGCACCAACUCCUUCAUUCAGUACACCCAGCUCCUUCUUUUCCGGAGUUCCGAAUCUCAAUAACCAAACCAGUCAACAUCGUCUUCAAAAGUUCCCAGUUUUUCUCCACCAACACCAUUUGCCCCAUCCACAACCAACUUGUCAUCCACAUCACUGGGAUGAGUUCCACUAGUAAUCAAAUCUACCAAGCACCUAACCAGCCACACAAAACACUUAAUGAAGGCAUUCAAACAACAAUGAAUUUUUUUAAAGAUCAAACUAACUCAUUACACAAAACUCUAGCUCCAACUAACCUAAAUGAGCUUGAAAGCUGCUUGAAGUAAUCGUUGUCUGAUACUUUCAAACCCUUAUUUCUAGCACGAACCAUCCAGUGUAGUUGUGGAGUAGUUAAAAUUCCCAAGUCAUGGGCAACCGCUCCAAUAAUUGAACUGAUUCCCUUUAAAGGAACAAAUGCUAAGAAAUGAGGAGCGUAAAACGAUUUAGAAACUGCAUGGUAAGCAAUGGUAAAAGAGAAGAUACCUGUUUAGCAGCCUCAACCAGAGAUUCUCCACUGGAUCUUGUAUCUCUUGCCAACAAUAUCUCCACGGAUUUUGCUCCAUCGACUGCGAUUUUUUCAUUUUCAACAAAUUCAGCUAUCAACUGUUCAAGAGUUCAAUCAGCCUUGUACACAAAUUCACAAGAAGAAAAGAAAGGAGUGAGCACGCGCACACACACAGAAAGGCUAUAUAGAAAAAGAAAAACAGACAUGAACAAGCUGUUGGGGAUCACGAGCAUUGGUGAGGGUAUCAGCGAAUGGCUCCCAGUCUUGAGAAAGCAUUCCACCACUCGGGUCAGCAACUUUGACUCCAUUAUCAGAGACUUUGUUGUGAGAUGCUGUGAUCAUCAGGCCGAUCACUGAUUGGAUCUUGAGGGCCCUUGGAGCAGCCAAAAUUCCCACCCUGUAAAGUGUGGAUUGGAGGAUUGAGGCAUCAGCUCUGAAGCCAGCCGUUCCAUACGAUAGUUUCACACCUGGUGUCAACUUCUCAAAAUUAACAAACCAGAAACCGAAUUCCGUUGAGAGGAAAGGGAAAAUGCGAGAGGGAGAGAAAUGUGGACCUUGUGGAGGCGGGAAGCGAGAUGAGGAGCUGAGGAGGAGUGAACGUUGGUCUUUAUUCAUGGUUUGUUAAUCCCGAUUGAAACUAACAUCAAAGAGUUUGAGUUUCAGGCAUAUAACUAGCAAUAGUGCCCGCGCGUUUGCUGCGGGUCUUAAAACUACUGGACAUAAAAGAAGAAAACAGCCAGUGCAAACUUGUAAUGGAUAGUUUGUAAUUAAUAGGUUUUUAGUAUGUUCAUGCUAUUUAAACACAGAAAAUAUAAUAAGAAAAAGAAGUUGAGUGUUGGCAAAAAGUGAUGUAAUUUGUGGCAUACCUGUAGUUAGACCUGUGUAAUCGAUUUAGUUGUGAACACUGGUAACAUGUAUAACUCAGAGAACAAAAAAUAGCAGAAACUGAAUAAGAAAAUGAUGUGCAUAGAGAAUAUACUGCAGUAACUAUAAAUUAAGGUUAGAAGUGUUUUAAUUUUGAUAUAAAUUUGUGGUCAAGAAUUAUGCAUAAGAGGAUAACUGCUUUUAUGAGUGAGCAUAUAAUAAGUCAAAACGAUUAUUAAUAAUUAACGAAAUGUUUGAAGUAAAAAAAAAUAUACAUUUGAUGUUGAAAUUCGAUAUCAUAAUGUAACUGUAACUUAUUAGAAGGGUUUAAAUUGGCAUUAACUGGUCUGUAACAGUUUGUCCAAUUAUAUUGAAUAUCAUUAGACCAUGUUGUGAUACGAUGUUACUGGAAAACGAAGAAAAAAUUAUAUAAGCUAUUAGAAACAAUAUACAAUUGUAAAUGUAAAGUUGUGUAAUUUGAUUCUUAAUAAGCAUGCAUAUAUACCGUUUGGAUAUGAAGAAUUAAAAAGCAUAUAGAGCUGUGCACUUAGUUGAGGUAAGAGUUUAGAUGAUGGGAAUCCAUGCUGAUAAUUUGUUGAGGAAAACAAAACUUUAGUUUGAUGUUCAAGCAGAUGGGAACAGACAGAAAGAACAAAAGGUAAAAUACAUAAUAAAAAGAAGAUGAUGUCCAAAGAUUGGAAAAGCAGGUUAAGAAGUAAAUUUAUGUUUAUACCGACUAAAAUGAUUGUCAAAUUUGCAGCAAGCUAUCUUUGAAUGAAUAAAAAAUAGGGUAAAAAUUGUAGGCAAAUUUGAUCAGGUGAACUGGAGAAAAUUGAAAACCAGGAUUAAAAAUGCAUCACAAAUGAGAAUAUGGUGUAAAAUGAUAUGUAAGCCAGUUUUGUACUGAUUCUAAUGUAAAUAUGGGAAAACAGAUGUUCAAAGAUGGAUCCGAUAGAGCUGAUUAGGUGUCUCUGUGUAACACAGAGAUACUAUUUGCUCAGUUAUUUCAGCUUUGAUCAUUUGGAUAAAUAAUCAUCACUUCCAUAUUUUCCCUUCGGUGGGAUGAUCUUUUUGUUUUACAAUGUUAUCUAGGAAGAAACUCAUUGGAUCAUGCAAUAACAAAUAGAAAAACUAUUUAAAAGAAUACAAACAACAACAACAAAGCUUUUUUCCCACAAAGUGGGGUCGGCUAUAUGAAUCCUAGAACGCCAUUGCGCUUGGUUUUGUGUCAUGUCCUCCGUUAGAUCCAAGUACUCUAAGUCUUUUCUUAGGGUCUCUUCCAAAGUUUUCCUAGGUCUUCCUCUACCCCUUCGGCCCUGAACCUCUAUCCCGUAGUCACAUCUUCGAACCGGAGCGUCAGUAGGCCUUCUUUGCACAUGUCCAAACCCAUUUUGUGUACGUGUUGAUGCUUCACCGCCCAACCUUCUGUGCCAUACAGCAUCGCCGGCCUUAUUGCCGUCCUAUAAAAUUUUCCCUUGAGCUUUAGUGGCCUACUACGGUCACACAACACGCCGGAUGCACUCUUCCACUUCAUCUAUCCAGCUUGUAUUCUAUGGUUGAGAUCUCCAUCUAAUUCUCCGUUCUUUUGCAAGAUAGAUCCUAAGUAGCGAAAAUGGUCGCUCUUUGGUAUUUCCUGAUCUCCGAUCCUCACCCCUAAUUCAUUUUGGCCUCCAUUUGCACUGAACUUGCACUCCAUAUAUUCUGUCUUUGAUCGGCUUAGGCGAAGACCUUUAGAUUCCAACAUUUCUCUCCAAAGGUUAAGCUUCGCAUUUACCCCUCCUGAGUUUCAUCUAUCAACACUAUAUCGUUUGCGAAAAGCAUACACCAAGGAAUAUCAUCUUGAAUAUGUCCUGUUAACUCAUCCAUUACCAACGCAAAAAGGUAAGGACUUAAGGAUUGUUGAUGCACAAAAUCAGUGAGGACUUUGGUACAACAGAAAGUAUUAAGUUUGUGAUCUUUGCUAGAUUGCUCUGGUCAUUAGUGUGGAUAAGUAUGUAAAUGGAUAGAGACAUGAAAGCAAACACAAGAUGUACAUGGUUCACCCAGAUUGGCUACAUCCACGGAGUAGAGGAGUUCUCAUUAAUUGUGAAGGGUUUACACAAGUAUAUAGGUUCAAGCUCUCAUUUAGUGAGUACAAGUGAAUGAUUUAGUACAAAUGACAUAGGUUCAAGCUCUCGUCUUCACUUGCCUUAUCUGUCUCAUAGGUAGAUGUGGCAUCUUCUCUGGAAGUACUCUUCCUCCAUCCAAGGGUGGUAUCUUUAACUGGUGGAGAUGCACAAGGUAAUGUAUCAAUUUCACAUGAAGCUUACUUGUAGUUUCAGGCUUGGUCAAGCGCGAUACAAACCAUGUAGUAGGAGUCCCCCAAGUCGCUGAGCUAGGGGAUCUGCUGAAAGAGGCGACAGACAAGGUAAGCAAUCAGAGCUCCAAGAAAUCAGUCCCAGAUCAGAAGUUUGAUUUCGAGUUUCGGCUGAUUGUUCUCAUUCUCCUUAUCUUGCAGGCAGCAUGAAGGAUAAAGAGAAGAAAGAUGAUAUGAGAUACUUUUGCUUUUGAAGAAGUAACUUUCCACAGGCUUAUUCUUGAACUGGGCUGGAGGAUUUUCUGGUUUCCUCCAGAGUAUAAGGCCGACUGAAGAAUUUGAGGGUUAAAACAAGUCCAUCAAAUCUAGAGUACGUUUGACUCUGCUGAUAUGGGAUACUUUUGCUGUUGACAAAGUAGUGGAUGUAUCGGCACGUGUUCUGUUACGCUUGUCUCCACAUGUUUUCUUGUAUCCUUCUCAUUUUCCCUAUCUGUUCCUUAGGCAGAUGUUGUAUCUUCUCUGGAAGCAUAAGAUGUUGAAGAUGAGUACUCGAGAGCAAUGCCAGGUAAGUAAUCAGGUAAGGGGUUCCAGGCAGUCAGUUCCUGACUAGAAGCUUGAUUUCAAGUGCUGACUGAUUACUCUCUUUCUCCUUGUCUUGCAGGUAAGAACAAGGCCAAAGGAAAAGACAGGGAAAAAGCAUGAUAUGGGAUACUUUUGCAUUUAACCCUGAUGAUAUGAGAUAUUCUUGCUCUGGUGUAGCUUGUUUGCAGAGAGAUUAUCGGGGGGAAAGAAAGCUGAGUAUUUCGAGAGGCUUCGUUGGGAGUGCCCUCUCAGAUAUGAGGAAGGGUUGAGCAUUUUUGCAGGUCUGCCUGUCCGUUGAGGAUGGAGGUCGACAUAUAUAGGAGUUUCCCUAUCAACAAGUAGUAAUGCUAUUCCUUUACCCUGCUUGGUCAUAGCACGGUAGUGGGAGCUGCCAGCUUCACAUGUGUCAGAGCACUUUGAAAAAGUGGUCUGUGGUAUCUGGAAAGCUGAUGUUGCGUGUGAAGAUUACAGACAAACUUUAUCCAAGGAGAUCUGACUCUCGAAGUUGAGAAAGCGGUGCCUCUUUGGUUUUCGAACAAGCAAUCCUGUCGGGGAUUUGGCUCUCGAGAUUCGGAGAACGGUGCCUCUUCAAUUUUUUAGAGAGCAAUCAUGCUGGGAGUCUGGCUCUCGAGAUUCGGAUAGCCAUGUCUCUUCGAUUUUUGAGAAAGUAAUCAUGUUAGGAGUCUGGCUCUUGAGAUUCGGAGGACGGUGCCUCUUCGAUUUUGGAGUAAGCAAUCUUGUUGGGAGUGUUUUCUCGAAUGUGAGUAAAGGUUGGGCAUGUUUGCUAGUCUACCUUGCCACGGAGCAUAGAGGUUGACACAUAGGGACUUUCCAAUUAUCCAGCAGUGGUGCUGUUUCUUUACCCUUGUGGGUAAUAAUAUGGUAGCUAGACCUUCAAAAUUUAUGUGUCUAAACUUUGUUAGUGCUGUUUCUUUGCUAUUCUUUUACCCUUCUUGGUCAUAGCGAUGUAGUGGGAGCUGCAAGCUUCACGUGUCUAAACUUUGUCAGAGAUCUUUGGCAAAGUUAUCUGUGGUACCCAUGAGCUGAUG